rnacentral:lncRNA from 10 species
CCUGUUUCUUCUACCCUUUGUAUACAGCUUGGCUUGACAUUGUCACUAGGUCUUAACCUCCUGAUCAAUGGAUUGCUUAUCUUGUGGUGAGUCAUCUAGACAUACCCUAGACCAAGUAGCCACCGUAGUGUGUAUGGGAGUAGGGAUGGGGGAUUGUUAAUGUCCAAGCUGGAGUGAGUAAUCGUGCUGCCCAAAAUUUUAAAUGACUGUUUUAUUUUACUUUCUAAUUUCUACAUUUUAUUCCCUCAUCUCAGUAAAAGUUAUUUUGUUUUUCAGAACAAUGUCAUGUUUCAUUUAUCACAUUAAGCAGGUAUUUUGAACUUGUAUAUUAGAAACAGAGGACAACAAACCAAGAAAAAAAGGCAAGAAUCUUAAACUAUUGAGAGAGAUAAAGAUGUUUUUAUUUUACUCUCAGAAAAUCUCCCUCACACUGGAAAUUAAUCUAAUUAUUCAGUUAGGUUCAAAAUAAAAAAAAAUUACAAUAACUUUUGUUAUUUUUCCUUGAUGACAGUUAAGAUAUUUGAUAAAACAAAACAUGAAAUAUUUGACAUCCACAGAGUGUGUGGAUGUAGUAUGUAAACUACGAAUUAAUACUACUUUCUUUCUCUUAAUAAAAGAAACCUUAAAAAUCCAAAAGAUUUUAAAUUAAUUAACAUAAGUCAUUCAUUUUAGUUUUAAGAGAACUUGGCCUAAAUAAUCAUACCCAUUCAAUGUAAAGACUAUAUGUCAAGGGAAAAAAAAAACUUGGUUAGUCUACACAAAUAAUGUUCACCCAUUUUUCAACAAACACUUAUAAGGCUUGCUUUUUUAGUUAUGAAUGGUAGGUGAUGAUAGUCAAAUACCUGGUAAAAUAUGGAUUUCAUUCCAGUCUGUGAAAUUCCAGGUUUCUCCUUGUUUGAUGACUAGACUUGACUGUUUCUCCCAUCUUAGCCUCAUCUGAUUUGUGGCAAAACUCCCAUUCUUCCUUGAAGGUUUACAGUUGGCCCCUGAAAAACAUGGGUUUGAAUUACAUUGGUCCAAUUUUAUGUGAAUUUUCUUCCACCUCUGCCACCCCUGAGAUGACAAGAGCAACCCUUGCUCUUCGAUCUCCUCCUCAUCCAACUUGACAUGGAGAUAAAGAUGAAAACCUUUAUAAUAAUCCACUUCCACUUAAUGAAUAGCAAAUACAUUUUCCCUUCUUUUUGUUUUUUGAAUAACAUUUUCUUUUCUCUAGCUUACUGUAUUGUAAAUAUAUAGCAUAUAAUGCAUAUAACAUACAACAUGUGUUAAUUGACAGUCGAAGUUAUAGGUAAGCCUUCCCGUGAACAGUAAGCUAUUAGUAGUUAAGUUUUUAAGGAGUCAAGAGUUGGAUGCAGAUUUUUGACUGUGUUGGGGGUUUGGUGCCCCUAAUCCCUGCAUUGUUCAAGGGUCUACUGUAGUUAAUAAUUUUACUAUUCUUUUUUUUUUUUUUUUUUUUGAGACGGAGUCUUGCUCUGUCGCCCAGGCUGGAGUGCAUUGGCACAAUCUCGGCUCACUGCAAGCUCUGCCUCCCGGGUUCAUGCCAUUCUCCUUCCUCCGUAGUAGCUGGACAAUAGGUGCCAACCACCAGGCCUGGCUAAUUUUUUUUUUGUAUUUUUAGUAGAGACGGGGUUUCACCACAUUAGCCAGGAUGGUCUCGAUCUCCUGACCUCGUGAUCCACCUGCCUCGGCCUCCCAAAGUGCUGGGAUUACAGGCGUGAGCCACCACGCCCGGCCAAUAAUUUUAAUAUUCUAAGACACAAUCUAUCACUAAGAAAAGAAAUCUCCAUCUUCUACCUACUCCUAUAGAACAUUAAUUUUUAUCACUGCACAUGAAAUGUGCUUUAUGACAAAAGCAAGUAUUUUAUCUAUUCUUUAACAGACUCUGAAAUUCUUAAUAAAAAUGAUGAUUGUAUAACGUAGUGUUUUCAACAUAGAAGAUACUCACUCUUUGCCAAAUUUACAUUUGACCAGGCAUUCAUUUUGAUAGAUAAACUAACAACCCGGCCACGCAUGGUGGCCCAUGCCUGUAAUCCUAGCCCUUUGGGAGGCCAAGGCUGGUGGAUCACUUGAGGUCAGGAGUUUGAGACCAGUCCGGCUAACAUGGUGAAACCCCAUCUCUACUAUUAGUAGAUACAAAGAUUAGCCUGGUGUGGUGGCACCUUCCUGUAGUCUCAACUACUCAGAGGGCUGAGGCAGGAGAAUCGCUUGAACCCAGUAGGCAGAG